GCAGGAGUGGUGGGACAUGCCUGUAGUCCCAGCUACUCUAGAGGCUGAGGUGGGAGGAUCGCCUGAGCCUGGGAGGCCGAGGCUGCCGUGAGCUGUGGUGGUGCCAUCCUCCCUUUGCAGAGCAGGCCUUGAAUACCAAGCCCUUGGCACAGAGCCAGCAAGCAUGAAUGGUGCCCGGUAUUCCUGCAGUUGUUGCUUGUCUCCCAUAGCCCCCAGAAGGGACCGUCUAGUCGCAGGAAAACAAGCUCAGGGCUCCCGGUGAUUCUACAUGAUGGAGAUUUAAGGAGCUGCAUAUUAGUGAACACGCAGGCUGCCUUGGUGCCUGGAGCAGAGCUCACGUUCUAGAGAGAAUUUGCAGAUUGGAAGCCCAUGGGCCAGAAUCAGUCCACGGAUGACUUUCAGGGGCACGAGGUUUGUUUUUGUUCCUUUGUUUUAGAAUUGAAUUCGUUGCCAGCAUUUUUUUUUAAAC